GACGAACGCUUGCGACGUGCCUAAGAAAUGCAAGUCGAACGGACUAGCCUUCGGGUUAGUUAGUGGCGAACGGUCGCGUAACACGUGGGCAACCUGCCCUGAAGCGGGGGACAACAGCCUGAAAGGGCUGCUAAUACCGCAUGUGGAUCGCCCUGGCAUCAGGGAUUAUCCAAAGCCUUCGGGCACUUCAGGAUGGGCCCGCGGCCUAUCAGCUAGUUGGAGGGGUAACGGCCCACCAAGGCUCGACGGGUAGCUGGUCUGAGAGGACGAUCAGCCGGAUUGGGACUGAGAUACGGCCCAGACUCCUACGGGGGGCAGCAAUUAGGAAUCUUGCACAAUGGGCGAAAGCCUGAUGCAGCGACGUCGCGUGGGGACGAAAUCUUUCGGGAUGUAAACCCCUUUUGAGUGGGAAGAAACAAAUGACGGUACCACUCGAAUAAGCCCCCGGCUAACUACGUGCCAGCAGCCGCCG
rnacentral:rRNA from 1 species